CAUCGAGACCCGAGUUAUUGUCUGUGCAGAAUAAAUUAUGCGGCAAUUGUUAAUUUCUAGGAAAAAAAAAAAAAAGUCUGACUGAAAUGGACUGUUCUCCUGUCAUUACUGCUGUCGGAGAAAGUUUCCUUAAAUUUCUGGUGCUUUUUAAAAAUAGAAGUUACAGUUAGAUUUUAGUUCUCUGGCACUGAAAUAUUCCAUCAGGUUACAUUUUUUAAAUGCAAGUUUUAGGUUACAUUUUAAUCCAAAUCAGGUUACAUUUUAAUCCAAAUGCUUUAUGUAAAUGUAAAGGAAUUCAUGCCGAGGGGUCAUUGUUAAACACUGGGUCAAUUUUAUAAUGGCCAAGGAGGAAAUGAGAUCCUGCAUUUUCAUUUGAACACCCUGACAGAUAAAUCUGCUACAUUUUGAGAUGGCUGCAUUACUCACAAGUUAUGGAGCCCCAGUGAGUUAUGCAGUUCUUCCCAAACAAGUAACAAUAAAAUGUUUAUAGGACCCAAAAGCAUCAUAUGUUGUGUUCAAACCAUUCAUUCUGUUUGAUAUUUUCCUCUUAAAAGUCUGCUUCUGAUUCUCCCCUUCUCUUGUAGGUUAGUUGCUCCAAAAACAAUGAUGUCAUUCUUAUACACAGAGUUCAGCUACAUCGAGAAGCAGAGCACAAACCUAAUUUCCAGGCUUUUGUACUGCUUUUGGGGACCACUGGAAAGUUUUGCCGUUUGAGAGGGACAGUCUUGGAAAACCUGGCAGAAGCCAAAGCAGUGAAGGCACUGGCAGCUGUCCUAAAAGAAGGAACUUCAUCAGCUACAGAGAUCAAAUGUCUUUUCAAACUACCUUCACAGUAUUUAUGAUCUAAUCCUCCUCCCUCCUCUCACGUGGCUGCCACGGAUCUGUACACAUGUCACUGUACUGGGCCGUAAGAUAAGUGUGUAUUCCAUUGCCACCUGUCAGAGCUGGGGCAGUUCUCUGCUGUCCAUGGGGCAGUUGUUUCUUUAUCUCUCCCACAGCCAACCCUCCCU
rnacentral:lncRNA from 1 species